AGUCAGAACCUCCCACUGACAGCCAGAACGAGGAGCCACUCCCGAAGAGCUGCUCCUACUCAGGACCAAUGCCACGCUCCAGGAUUCCCCACCUCCCGUGGAACCAGUGGGAGCAUGUGGCAGGCCAGGAGCUGUGGAUCUUUAAAGGCUCUGGACUCAUGGCGAACACACAUCCCCAGAAAGAGCCCAGCUCCCACUCAGGCAUCACAGAUAUGUCUGCUAUUGCCUGAAAGCCCGUGGAGAAAUCCCACACCCCGGGGAUUUCUUAAACCUUCGAUUAACUGGGAUGCUAUCCUGUACUUCAAAGAAAGAGGAAUAUCCAAGUAACAACGCAAGCUCAUCCGCAGAACCAGGCCAGCUGCAGCUCUCAGGAGGUAGCCACACCCGGGCUAGUGCCACAGGCAGCUGCACCAAAGGUGUAUGAGCGGUCACAUGAUAACCUGAACGCUGAGGCCCAAGGACUGGCAGGUGCUCAGGUGUCGAAACCCCAGAAUCCCAUUACCAGGCUCUGUUCUCUGAAGGAACAGUCAAUCUUGAAGAUCUUCACUAAGCAGAGCAUCUGAGAUUUACUGGCCUGAAG
rnacentral:antisense_RNA from 1 species